GUUGUGGCUCGGUGGUAGAGCACUCGCCUACCAUGCACAAGGCACUGGGUUUGAUCCUCAGCACAACA
rnacentral:tRNA from 1 species